rnacentral:rRNA from 1 species
AUGGACGGUCAUAGUGACUUGGUUACACCUGUUCCCAUUCCGAACACAGAAGUUAAGCAAGUCCACGUUCUGUGCUGUACUGUACUUACGUACGGGAAACACAGAUAGCUGUCCUCC